GCUGUGAUGGCCGAGUGGUUAAGGUGUUGGAUUUGAAAUCCAAUGGGGUUUCGCCGCGCAGGUUCGAACCCUGCUCUCUGCG
rnacentral:tRNA from 1 species